UGCGUGGAACUACCAAACAUUUCGAAAAAUGUGACGGCUUCUCUACUCCAGAGUGAUGCAAAGUUUUGGUUUUGGAUUACCUGCUAGUCCAGGAGCCAAAGGUGGACCUGGAGUUAAAGACGAGCCUGGUCCCAGAGGUCAUGCCGGCAUGUCCGGUGACCCUUGACCUUUGGGAAGCAAAGGAGAGAGAGGAGCGAUGGGCGUUCCAGGUGCUCAAGGUCUGAGUGGAACCAAAGGAGACAAGGUAGUACUGCCCCUCUGUCACUAGGUGUCCCCCAGGGUUGGGUGCUUGGUCCACUUCUCUUCAUUGUACAUGCUCCCCCUCGGUAACAUCAUCCGCCGCCAUCACCUCCAAUUCCACUGCUACACAGAUGAUGUCCAGCUACAUCUCCACAAAAUCUCUCCACCCUGACCGACUGCCUCACUGAAAUCAAAUCAUGGCUGCACUCCAACUUCCUCAAACUCAACUGACAAAUCUGACAUGCUCAUCGUGGGCCCCAAAUCCCUCACCAAAACUGCUCACAACUCUACUCUGUCCCCAUCCACUCACAUCCGCAACCUCGGAGUCAUUCUGGACAAUAAGCUCUCUUUUCAACACCGGGUCAACCACAUCACAAGAACUGCUUUCUUCCACCUCCAAAAUAUUGCCCGUCUCCGUCCAUCCUUCUCUGCCGCUGAAACCCUGAUCCAUGCCUUCAUCACCUCCACACUUGACUACUGUAACAGCAUCCUCUACGACUCAUCUUGCAACAUUCUCAAACUCCAAUACAUUCAAAACUCUGCCGCCCGCCUGCUCAGCCACACCCGCUCCCGUGAGCACAUCACCCCAGUCCUCCAGAAACUCCACUGGCUCCCCAGUCCUCACCGGAUCCACUUUAAAUCCUCCUCCUCACCCACAAAGCCCUCCACAAGCAGGCCCCCUGCUACCUCACCAACCUGCUUCACCUCCAUACCUUCACGCAGCCUCCGCUCCUCUGAUGCCAACCUGCUCUCCCCACCAUGCAGAACCAAGCUUCGGACCUGGGGUGACAGCUUUCUCCAUCGCUGCUCCCACCCUCUGGAACACUCUUCCCAAGCCCAUCCGUGACCAGUGUUGGGUUAGUUACUGAAAACCAGUAACUACUUUAUUUCAAAAGUAACUCAGUUACUUACACCAAAAAGUAAUGCGUUACUGUGAAAAGUAACUAUUUAGUUAGUUCUAUUUUUCUUUCUUUUUUUAAAGCUCCCAUUAAUGCCCUUUUAGCCUUCAUUUCAGUACUGUUAUUGCACUGGAGAAUAAUACAAUUUGUUGAUCAACUUGACUUUUUGAUUGAUUGAAACUUUUAUUAGAUUGCACAGUACAUAUUCCGUACAAUUGACCACUAAUUGGUAACACCCCAAUAAGUUUUUCAACUUCUUUAAGUCCACAUUAAUAAAUUCAUGGCAUGCAUUUUUAUCUUCCUUUUAACAUAAUUAAUGAAAAACAGUGCAACAUCAAAAGACACUUCUCCUUUCUUUAAACUUGGACCAAUGACCAAUAAUAAAAAGCAAGUUAAAGUGCAACAUAAGAAGGCACAUCAUCUUCCUUGAAACAUAGGUAGUGAAAUAAAGCCUGACAUCUGGAGUGAUGCUGCUGUCUUCCACACUUGGAGUCAUGGAUUGUACAAUCCUUGUUUUCAGUGGCAGGAUCAUUGACACAGAUGGUGACGUUUCAGUGCUCUGUAGAGAUGGAACAGUUCUGAGGGGUUUAAGCACCUGGAGGACCUCCUCUGCCACUCUCAAGUCAUCAUCAGACAGGUUGAUGUAUGACAUUUGUCUUCAGGGUGUUGUGGGUCAAUGCAGAGUAUAUAGCUGCCUGCUGCUCCAACAUAUCACAAAUUGAUUAACGUGGACUUAAACAAGUUGAAAAACUUAUUGGGGUGUUACCAUUUAGUGGUCAAUUGACCACUGAUGGAUGGAAUAUGUACUGUACUGUGCAAUCUACUGAAGUCUCAAUCAAUCAAAAUCAUACUUGAGCAGAGUAGACUUCUUUUAUUUUUCUGUUUUUCGGCUCAUCUUUCAGGCUCUCUGUCCUUUCCUCUCCCGCUCAGCAUCUGCUGCAAAGCUUGACUUGAAAUGUACGGAACGUGGAUCAGCUGCAGACCAACCAAGAGCUCUCCCAACUGAAAAAAGGUAUGACGACUUGAGUGGGCUGAUAAUUAACUGUUUCAUUUGUAGCUUGUAUUUUUGUAGCUUACCUUAACUGACACUUGUAUUUCAUCUCCGCUACUCACUCCGCCACUCCCUGCGCUGCGAUUCACUCUCCAAACAGAAAUAGUUUUAAUUUCAGUUAAGGUAAGAUACAAGUUACAAAUGAAACAGUUAAUUAUCAGCCCACUCAAGUAGUCAUACCUUUUUCUCAGUUGUGCGAGCUCAUGUUUGGUGUGCAGCUGAUCCACUGCAAGAGAUUGCUUAAACUUAACAACAAUAUUGUAAUGUCAGAUUGUAGAAUCUACCUUCCUUACAUUUCAGUUCAAGUAUUCUAAUUUCGGUUUUGACCCUUUUCAGCCGUUCUUGCAGCCUUCUUUUGUCUCCUUGCAGUCUCUCCUUCUGCCUCCUGUACUCCGCCAUGUCCAUUUGGUCCUCCAUCACGUCUUGGUGGAGCCGUGUAACGUCCUGUUGAACACAAGUAAAUCCACACAGCAAUCAUACUGUAUAUAUGGCAAGAUAACUGCAGGAUAUUUCUGUGUAACAGAGGAGUGACUAACUCAUGAAUGUGUGAAAAUAUUUCCCUGUCUUAUUCUUUUAUUUCUGAUUUAGAACAUGACACUGAGUGUGUUUUUUGGACACAAUAUUUUGGCAUUAAAAAAUGCCACACAUUCUGCUGCAUGUGUGCCUGCUUACCUUUUAUAAGGAAGACUUUAAACAUGUAAGUUGUUCAACAUUAAAAAUGACAAAAUCACUUCAAGUAUGGUUUUAUUUUCCUAUGUCAACAGUGUUACUUUUCAAACUGGAGUGUUACUGUGGCCUAAAAUAUGUGUGUGUAUACAAACCCCGUUUCCACACUCUUAAAAGGAAUGUGUUGGAAAUCCACACAUGUUUUGUGUAAUGAUUUCAACAAAUGUGUUAAAUCACAGGAUUUUCCUGAGGGGAAGUAACACAGACAUUCUACACAACAUUGUGUCAUGAGCUUUGACAAUCAGCUGGGUGGCCAUAGAGUUGGGGACAAAACAAAAAAAGUCCCGCCUUUUCUGUGAUCUACGUGGCCAUCACCGCCGGACCUCUGCGACUGUAUCCGUCUUAAUGAAGGUAAGCAUAUUCCAGUCUACUUGCACGUUGUUGUAUCUUAAAGGGUGUAAUAGUGGUAGUUUUGCUGGGAAUGUGUGACUGUAACCUGCUGACAAGAUGUAAAGU